CGGCGUGCUUACCAUGCAGUCGAGCGGUAAGGCUCCUUCGGGAGUACACGAGCGGCGAACGGGUGAGUAACACGUGAGCAAUCUGCCCUUCUCAUCGGAAUAAGCGUUGGAAACGACGUCUAAUGCCGAAUAUGACCUCCUUUCGCAUGUUAGGAGGUGGAAAGCUCCGGCGGAGAAGGAUGAGCUCGCGGCCUAUCAGCUAGUUGGUGAGGUAAUGGCUCACCAAGGCGACGACGGGUAGCCGGCCUGAGAGGGUGACCGGCCACACUGGGACUGAGACACGGCCCAGACUCCUACGGGAGGCAGCAGUGGGGAAUAUUGGACAAUGGGCGAAAGCCUGAUCCAGCAACGCCGCGUGAGGGAUGACGGCCUUCGGGUUGUAAACCUCUUUCAGCGGGGACGAAGCGAAAGUGACGGUACCCGCAGAAGAAGGACCGGCCAACUACGUGCCAGCAGCCGCGGUAAUACGUAGGGUCCGAGCGUUGUCCGGAAUUAUUGGGCGUAAAGGGCUCGUAGGCGGUUUGUCGCGUCGGGAGUGAAAACUCAGGGCUCAACCCUGAGCGUGCUUCCGAUACGGGCAGACUAGAGGUAUGCAGGGGAGAACGGAAUUCCUGGUGUAGCGGUGGAAUGCGCAGAUAUCAGGAGGAACACCGGUGGCGAAGGCGGUUCUCUGGGCAUUACCUGACGCUGAGGAGCGAAAGCAUGGGGAGCGAACAGGAUUAGAUACCCUGGUAGUCCAUGCCGUAAACGUUGGGCGCUAGGUGUGGGGACCUUCCACGGUCUCCGUGCCGCAGCUAACGCAUUAAGCGCCCCGCCUGGGGAGUACGGCCGCAAGGCUAAAACUCAAAGGAAUUGACGGGGGCCCGCACAAGCGGCGGAGCAUGCUGAUUAAUUCGAUGCAACGCGAAGAACCCUUACCUGGGUUUGACAUAUACCGGGAAAGCUGCAGAGAUGUAGCCCCCCUUGUG
rnacentral:rRNA from 1 species